AGAGUUUGAUCCUGGCUCAGGAUGAACGCUAGCUACAGGCUUAACACAUGCAAGUCGCGGGGCAGCAUGGGGGUUGCUUGCAACCCCUGAUGGCGACCGGCGCACGGGUGAGUAACGCGUAUCCAACCUGCCCUUCACCACGGGAUAACCCGGCGAAAGUCGGACUAAUACCGUAUGUUGUCCAUUGACGGCAUCCGAUUUGGACGAAAGGCUUAGCGGUGAGGGAUGGGGAUGCGUCCGAUUAGCUUGACGGCGGGGUAACGGCCCACCGUGGCUACGAUCGGUAGGGGUUCUGAGAGGAAGGUCCCCCACACUGGAACUGAGACACGGUCCAGACUCCUACGGGAGGCAGCAGUGAGGAAUAUUGGUCAAUGGGCGGAAGCCUGAACCAGCCAAGUAGCGUGCAGGAUGACGGCCCUAUGGGUUGUAAACUGCUUUUAUGCGGGGAUAAAGGGGCUCACGUGUGGGCUUUUGCAGGUACCGCAUGAAUAAGGACCGGCUAAUUCCGUGCCAGCAGCCGCGGUAAUACGGAAGGUCCGGGCGUUAUCCGGAUUUAUUGGGUUUAAAGGGAGCGUAGGCCGCCCCUUAAGCGUGUUGUGAAAUGCGGGUGCUCAACAUCCGACUUGCAGCGCGAACUGGGGGGCUUGAGUGCGCCGAAAGUAGGCGGAAUUCGUGGUGUAGCGGUGAAAUGCUUAGAUAUCACGAAGAACUCCGAUUGCGAAGGCAGCUUACUGUAGCGCAACUGACGCUGAUGCUCGAAAGCGUGGGUAUCGAACAGGAUUAGAUACCCUGGUAGUCCACGCGGUAAACGAUGGAUGCUCGUUGUCGGCCCUUGCGGUCGGUGACCAAGCGAAAGCGUUAAGCAUCCCACCUGGGGAGUACGCCGGCAACGGUGAAACUCAAAGGAAUUGAC
rnacentral:rRNA from 1 species